rnacentral:rRNA from 1 species
GCUUACAACCUAGCUCUACUGCCCCGAAUGUAAGACAUCUACACUUACUAACUAAUAAAACAUUUUUCACAUUUAGUAAAGGCGAUCAAAAAAUGUAUUGAAACUAUAAAAAUAGUACCGCAAGGGAAAGAUGAAAUAAAAAUGAAAUAAACGCUAAAGCACUGAAAAGCAGAGACUAAACCUCGUACCUUUUGCAUCAUGGUCUAGCCAGUCCAACCAAGCAAAACGCAUUUUAAGUUUGACCCCCCGAAACUAAGUGAGCUACUUCAAAACAGCCCCAAGGGCCAACCCGUCUCUGUUGCAAAAGAGUGGGAAGAUUUUCAAGUAGAGGUGAUAAACCUACCGAGCUUAGAGAUAGCUGGUUAUUCAGGAAAAGGAUUUAAGUCCUACCUUAAGUUUCUUCGUAACUCUAAUUACUUCACAAAACUUAAGAGCUAUUCAAAUAAGGUACAGCCUAUUUGAAACAGGAUACAACCUACAACAUUGGGUAAUGAAUUCUGCUUCAUAAUUAAGUGGGCCUAAGAGCAGCCACCUUUAAAAAAGCGUUAAAGCUUUAUUAUACUAGCUCAAUAAUUACAUUAAUCCCCCAAAACCCUUAUCUCAUACUGAGUGAUUUCAUAAUAUUAUGAAAAACCAUAUGCUAGAACUAGUAACAAGAAGAAGACCUUCUCCAAAAAUGUACGUAUAAGCCAAAAUGAACAACUCAUUGGCAUUUACCGCUUAUGAACUAACAGUAGUAACUCAACAAGAAAACUCUACUAUCCAUAACGUUAACCUUACACUAGCACAUUCCCGGAAAGAUUAAAAGGAAGGGAAGGAACUCGGCAAAUAAUAACCUCGCCUGUUUACCAAAAACAUCGCCUCCUGAAUAAUUAUAGGAGGUCCAGCCUGCCCAGUGACAAAGUUAAACGGCCGCGGUACCCUAACCGUGCAAAGGUAGCGCAAUCACUUGUUCUUUAAAUGAGGACUAGUAUGAAUGGCAUCACGAGGGUUAUACUGUCUCCCCCACCUAAUCAGUGAAACUGAUCUUCCCGUGAAGAAGCGGGAAUAGAAUUAUAAGACGAGAAGACCCCAUGGAGCUUUAAACUCAACAUCAACUGCCCUAUAAAUAGCUUAUUAACCACGCAGAUCUGACAGUUGGUUUUCGGUUGGGGUGACCGCGGAGUAAAACAAAACCUCCACGAUGAAAGGAAUUAACCUCCUAAUCUAAGAGCUACAGCUCUAAGAAUCAACAAAUUGACAAAAUUUGAUCCAAAUAUUUUGAUCAACGAACCAAGUUACCCUGGGGAUAACAGCGCAAUCCAUUUCAAGAGCUCAUAUCGACAAAUGGGUUUACGACCUCGAUGUUGGAUCAGGGUAUCCUAGUGGCGCAGCCGGCUA